rnacentral:lncRNA from 13 species
CAGAACAGCCUGGAGGCAGCUGCUAUGGGAAGUCCCUGUGGUUUCAGUGGAUCCGGGAAACUGCGUCACUAGAGUGUGGGCUCCCUGGGGAAGGGAGGAGCCUUUCCUGGAGGAAGAACUUUCAAUAACCCUUCUGCUGUGUCCCCUGUCUCCAUGGAAAUGGCUGAGGCCCAAACAAAGUCAGCUUUCUUGGGGAAGGGAGGGCUGACCCAUCAGCAAAGAGUCUCAGCUAUGUGCUGUGGCAUUUCAACAAGGAACCAUGUCACUGGCAUCCCAUCUGGGUGAGGGGAGUGGCUAGGGUAAUUAGCUGGCAGCCAAGGGCAGGCCGGCUGGGAGGGUCUAAGAACAAGACUCAGUGUCCAGACUGCAAGAGACUUCAGAGUUCAUCUGGGACGCAGGAGGGACAGGACUUGCCCAAGGCCACACAUUAAACAUAAUGAAGCCUCAGUCCUGUGGUGGUGCCUUCAUUAACUGCCGAAAGUAUAUAGAAGCAAUCUGACCAACACUCACUUUGCCUCUCUGACGUCGCUUCCUCGUCUGUAGAAUGGAAAAAGAAUUCCUCCAUUAUCUGUAAAUUCAUCAUGAUGAUGCCAGCACCAACAGCACAGUUUCUGGCACGUGGACUACUUCUAACAUACAAAUACUUAAGUAAAUGAAUAUCACUUUUGCAGGGACAUUGCGAAGAUUAAAUGGGAUAAUAUAAUAGAUAUAAGCAUUAUAGUGUUUAGCAUAGUGCCUGACACAUAGACUGUGCUAGACGGUCUCCCUGAUUAUUACCAUAAUGAGGAACAGCAAGAGGAGAAACAGGGCUGUG